rnacentral:rRNA from 1 species
UUACCUACGGGGCGCAGCAGUGGGGAAUAUUGGGCAAUGGGCGCAAGCCUGACCCAGCAACGCCGCGUGAAGGAAGAAGGCUUUCGGGUUGUAAACUUCUUUUCUCAGGGACGAAGAAAGUGACGGUACCUGAGGAAUAAGCCACGGCUAACUACGUGCCAGCAGCCGCGGUAAUACGUAGGUGGCAAGCGUUAUCCGGAUUUAUUGGGUGUAAAGGGCGUGUAGGCGGGAGCGCAAGUCAGAUGUGAAAUCCUGCGGCUUAACCGCAGAACUGCAUUUGAAACUGUUGAUCUUGAGUACUGGAG